AGGUAAAUAUUUUAAAUAAAAUAUUUAGUUUGCGUCUAUGGGUUGUCUUGUUGACUUUACCUA
rnacentral:tRNA from 1 species